rnacentral:rRNA from 1 species
UGGUAUCUUUGUCGUGGAGUCAUUCUUACUAAAGAUAACCUUAUUAAGACGAAUUGGCAUGGAAGUACGCAAUGUGUAUUUUAUCAACAUGAUGAGACAAUAAAGCAUUUGUUCUUCCAAUGAAAAUUGGCUCGUUCUAUAUGGUCAGUCAUCCAAAUAGCUUCUGGCUUGUAUCCUCCUUGUAGUGUUGCUAAUAUAUUUGGCAACUAG